CCUACGGGUGGCUGCAGUGGGGAAUAUUGCACAAUGGGGGAAACCCUGAUGCAGCGACGCCGCGUGAAGGAAGAAGUAUUUCGGUAUGUAAACUUCUAUCAGCAGGGAAGAAAAUGACGGCACCUGACUAAGAAGCCCCGGCUAACUACGUGCCAGCAGCCGCGGUAAUACGUAGGGGGCAAGCGUUAUCCGGAUUUACUGGGUGUAAAGGGAGCGUAGGCGGCGAUGAAAGUCAGAAGUGAAAGCCCGGGGCUCAACUCCGGGACUGCUUUUGAAACUGUGUUGCUAGAUUGCAGGAGAGGUAAGUGGAAUUCCUAGUGUAGCGGUGAAAUGCGUAGAUAUUAGGAGGAACACCAGUGGCGAAGGCGGCUUAUUGGACUGUAAAUGACGCUGAGGCUCGAAAGCGUGGGGAGCAAACAGGAUUAGAUACCCUAGUAGUC
rnacentral:rRNA from 1 species